rnacentral:rRNA from 1 species
UACAGAGGGUGCGAGCGUUAAUCGGAAUUACUGGGCGUAAAGCGCGCGCAGGCGGUUCUUCAAGUCAGAGGUGAAAGCCCAGAGCUCAACUCUGGAAUGGCCUUUGAGACUAGAGAACUAGGGUACGGGAGAGGUGAGUGGAAUUCCGAGUGUAGAGGUGAAAUUCGUAGAUAUUCGGAAGAACACCAGUGGCGAAGGCGGCUCACUGGCCCGUUACCGACGCUCAGGCGCGACAGCGUGGGGAGCAAACAGG